rnacentral:rRNA from 1 species
AUUGAACGCUGGCGGCAGGCCUAACACAUGCAAGUCGAACGGUAGCACAGAGAGCUUGCUCUCGGGUGACGAGUGGCGGACGGGUGAGUAAUGUCUGGGAAACUGCCUGAUGGAGGGGGAUAACUACUGGAAACGGUAGCUAAUACCGCAUAACGUCGCAAGACCAAAGAGGGGGACCUUCGGGCCUCUUGCCAUCAGAUGUGCCCAGAUGGGAUUAGCUAGUAGGUGGGGUAAUGGCUCACCUAGGCGAGGAUCCCUAGCUGGUCUGAGAGGAAGACCAAGCACACUGGAACUGAGACACGAUCGAGACUCCUACGGGAGGAAGCAGUGGGGAAUAUCGCACAAUGGGCGCAAGCCGGAUGCAGCCAUGCCGCGUGUAUGAAGAAGGCCUUCGGGUUGUAAAGUACUUUCAGCGGGGAGGAAGGUGUUGUGGUUAAUAACCGCAGCAAUUGACGUUACCCGCAGAAGAAGCACCGGCUAACUCCGUGCCAGCCGCCGCCGUAA